rnacentral:rRNA from 1 species
AGAGUUUGAUCCUGGCUCAGGAUGAACGCUAGCGACAGGCCUAACACAUGCAAGUCGAGGGGCAUCGGGGCGAGGAGCAAUCCUUGCCGCCGGCGACCGGCGCACGGGUGAGUAACGCGUAUGCGACCUGCCCGUUGCAGGUGGAUAAUCGGGAGAAAUCCCGUCUAAUACCGCGUAACGCCGCGGGGCUGCAUGGCCCUGCGGCCAAAGGAAGCGAUUCCGGCAACGGAUGGGCAUGCGUGACAUUAGCUAGUUGGCGGGGCAACGGCCCACCAAGGCGACGAUGUCUAGGGGUUCUGAGAGGAAGGUCCCCCACACUGGUACUGAGACACGGACCAGACUCCUACGGGAGGCAGCAGUGAGGAAUAUUGGUCAAUGGGCGCGAGCCUGAACCAGCCAAGUCGCGUGAGGGAUGACGGCCCUACGGGUUGUAAACCUCUUUUGUCGGGGAGCAAAUUCCGCCACGCGUGGCGGAGUCGAGAGUACCCGAAGAAAAAGCAUCGGCUAACUCCGUGCCAGCAGCCGCGGUAAUACGGAGGAUGCGAGCGUUAUCCGGAUUUAUUGGGUUUAAAGGGUGCGUAGGCGGACUGUCAAGUCAGCGGUAAAAUACGGGGGCUCAACCUCCGCCCGCCGUUGAAACUGACGGUCUUGAGUGGGCGAGAAGUAUGCGGAAUGCGUGGUGUAGCGGUGAAAUGCAUAGAUAUCACGCAGAACUCGAAUGGGAAGGGCAGCAUACCCGGGCCCCCCAACUUGAACCUUAAGCCAGAAAGCGUGGGUAAUCGAACAGGAUUAGAUACCCUGGGUAGUCCACGCAGUAAACGAUGAAUACUAGCUGUCCGGGGCGAAUGAGCCCUGGGUGGCACAGCGAAAGCGUUAAGUAUUCCACCUGGGGAGUACGCCGGCAACGGUGAAACUCAAAGGAAUUGACGGGGGCCCGCACAAGCGGAGGAACAUGUGGUUUAAUUCGAUGAUACGCAAGGAACCUUACCCGGGCUCAAACGACACAGGAACGUACCUGAAAGGGUUCGGCUCUACGGAGCCUGUGUCGAGGUGCUGCAUGGUUGUCGUCAGCUCGUGCCGUGAGGUGUCGGCUUAAGUGCCAUAACGAGCGCAACCCCCAUCGACAGUUGCUAACAGGUCAGGCUGAGGACUCUGUCGAGACUGCCGGCGCAAGCUGCGAGGAAGGCGGGGACGACGUCAAAUCAGCACGGCCCUUACGUCCGGGGCGACACACGUGUUACAAUGGCAGGUACAGCGGGAAGCCACCUGGCGACAGGGAGCGGAACCCGAAAGCCUGUCUCAGUUCGGAUUGGAGUCUGCAACCCGACUCCAUGAAGCUGGAUUCGCUAGUAAUCGCGCAUCAGCCACGGCGCGGUGAAUACGAUCCCGGGCCUUGUACACACCGCCCGUCA